AUUGAACGCUGGCGGCAUGCCUUACACAUGCAAGUCGAACGGUAACGGGCCUUCGGGUGCCGACGAGUGGCGAACGGGUGAGUAAUGCAUCGGAACGUACCUUUCAGUGGGGGAUAACGUAGCGAAAGUUACGCUAAUACCGCAUAUUCUGUGAGCAGGAAAGCAGGGGAUCGCAAGACCUUGCGCUGAUUGAGCGGCCGAUGUCAGAUUAGCUAGUUGGUGAGGUAAAGGCUCACCAAGGCGACGAUCUGUAGCGGGUCUGAGAGGAUGAUCCGCCACACUGGAACUGAGACACGGUCCAGACUCCUACGGGAGGCAGCAGUGGGGGAAUUUUGGACAAUGGGGGCAACCCUGAUCCAGCCAUGCCGCGUGAGUGAAGAAGGCCUCGG
rnacentral:rRNA from 1 species